rnacentral:lncRNA from 1 species
GUAUGUUGAAUUGUACAACUCUGCACAAAGACAGAAAGAAAAACAGAGUUUGCCUGCACCGAAAAACAGUCCCAGCUCUCCAAUGCAAACACAAUCUGACACAUGCUAAAAAUUGCCUGAAGCACUGGACCACGCAUGGCGUGUGAUUUGAGGCCUGUGAGAGUUGAGACCGCUGCUUUCAACUGACAGGGCUGGUUCUCCCGUCUCUCGCUGUCCUGAAUCCUGAGCUGCCCAAGAAACACUUAAGAUUAUUUUUAAGUCUUCAAAGAAGAAAAGCCGGAGUGGGCAGAGCGAGUACUGAACCUAAGUGGGCCUAAGCCGCCUGGGUUGGGGCCGACUCCGCUGGCACCCAGACCUUCUGAAGGACCUCGGAGCUGUCAUCGCAGGCGCCCAGGGUUUGUUUUCUGCCUUUUUGUGUUUUGUUUUUUUUUCCAGAGGGGGGUGUUUGUUUGUUUAGAGGGGGGGGACUUUAGGUUUUGCUCUUUGGGGCAGAUUCAUUCCGAGUCCUUCUUUGAGACCAAGCUAACCCCAUGCUGGGGUGGGGGGACCAACACCCGCACAACUGUCACAACAAAAGGCGCUACCCAAAGUGUGUCUACACGUCCGCGAAACCAGUGGCCCGACAUAGAGAUGCACUUUUGUGCCUCUCUAAUCUCGGACGUCCAUCUGGCCCUAGCGGGCGCGGGCUGCAAAAACGCGACAGGAGGGGCGGGGCGCGUGCACGAAUUCCGAGGCGCGGGCACGCGCGCCCGCUCUCCUUCACGUUCACCUUGACUGCAGGGGGGGCGGAGGGAUGGGACUGUGGUCCUCCCCCCUCCCGCCCCACUCUUCUCCCCACCCCCAGCUGCUGUCCUGGCUAGACGCCGGCGGGGAGCGGGGUUGUGGGGAGGCUGCACCCGCGCACCGGUCGCCGCAGCGGCCCGGCAGCCGCGCGCUCUGGGCAGUGAUGUCAACCGCAUCCGCCGCAGCGCCCCCCCAACCGCCCGCACCCUCCUCGCCCGCACCGCGGCCGGCCGGAACCCCAGCCUCGCGCCUAAGGCUCGGGGCGAGGAGCAAAGGGUGUGCGGAUGCCCUGGGUCCCCCAUUCCAUCUGCCGAGGCGUGAGAGAUCCGGAGUGGACCCACCGCGAUGUCACUCAGCGGUGCCGCCGCAGCAACUAGGGAAGGGGAAGGGGACUGGGAGAGGGGAGGAGGCGAUGGAGGUAGGUGUAGGUUUGACGUCCCGGGCUCCCGAGAGGACUCUGCCUCGGACUGGGGCCACCAGGGUGGCGUCAAGGAGCGGAGGGCACCGACCACUGCAGAUGCGGCGCGUGUGCGCGCGGCGAAAGCGCCCCCUUCUCCCGGGAUCCAAACGGAUAAACGGAAGUGUGGAUGUGGCUUCUCUUAGCUGA